UUCUGGAAGAAAUCACAGAGAGUCUGCAAGAGAACAUAUGUCUUAGGAAGAUUUAGUCUGAAGAGUUAGUGCUUGAUGUGAGAGAUGAGAGGAAGAAGACAAUGAUUCUAGAAUAGACCAAAGAAAGGGCUGAUUUGUUGACUGACUUUGGAUGUCACUUUGAACUUUUCUUAUCCUGAAAGGGAUCUGAACUAGCUGCUCCUCAGCUGGAGGGCUGAAUUUUGCACAAAGGCAGAUAGGUGAGGAUACCUCUAAUGAGAAGCUGUGAUGAUAGGUGGCUUCAAUCUGGCAUCCUGAAGAGAGAGACACAAAGCACUGAACUCGGAGUUGCAUUCUGGCGAAGAACUAGCCAGCCAUGCUGGAAGAUCAAUUGUGGACUGAGAAACACUCAUGUUGGGCACCGCCACAUGUAUAAUUGGGACCAAAGUUUGGUGUUCCAUUAGCCUUUCCAAGCCCAGGCAUGACGUCGGCAGAUCCACCGAUCUUGCUCUAAUUCGCCCUGCACAGUACAGAUUCAAACAUGCAAAUCGCUCUUUCUGUCUCUUUUAGAAGAGUGGUAGAAAUUGCAUUCAUGAUACGGAUGGAAAAGAUGACUGGAGUGAAAACAAAAAUAUCAACUCUCUUGCAAUUUUUCAUCCAGGCUCUUUUUGUAGAAUAUGACAGACAUUGGCUUCUUGCGAUAUUGCAAUAGAUGGAUAGUUCAUUUCAAUACUGUUCUGUCAGACUGCCUUAUUAUCAAUCACUUUAAUAAACAAAGUUAAAAAA